rnacentral:rRNA from 1 species
GACGAACGCUGGCGGCGUGCUUAACACAUGCAAGUCGAACGGUGAAGCGCCUUCCUUUUUGGUGGGUGUGGAUGAGUGGCGAACGGGUGAGUAACACGUGAGUAACCUGCCCCCUUCUUCUGGAUAACCGCAUGAAAGUGUGGCUAAUACGGGAUAUUCUGGGUCUGUCGCAUGAUGGGUCUGGGAAAGAUAUUGUUUCGGUGGGGGGUGGGCUCGCGGCCUAUCAGCUUGUUGGUGGGGUGAUGGCCUACCAAGGCGGUGACGGGUAGCCGGCCUGAGAGGGUGGACGGUCACACUGGGACUGAGACUCGGCCCAGACUCCUACGGGAGGCAGCAGUGGGGAAUAUUGCACAAUGGGCGCAAGCCUGAUGCAGCGACGCCGCGUGAGGGAUGGAGGCCUUCGGGUUGUGAACCUCUUUCGCCAGUGAAGCAGGCCUGCCUCGUUUGUGGGUGGGUUGACGGUAGCUGGAUAAGAAGCGCCGGCUAACUACGUG